rnacentral:rRNA from 1 species
GAUGAACGCUGGCGGCGUGCCUAAUACAUGCGAGUCGAGCGAACGGACGAGAAGCUUGCUUCUCUGAUGUUAGCGGCGGACGGGUGAGUAACACGUGGAUAACCUACCUAUAAGACUGGGAUAACUUCGGGAAACCGUAGCUAAUACCGGAUAAUAUUUUGAACCGCAUGGUUCAAAAGUGAAAGACGGUCUUGCUGUCACUUAUAGAUGGAUCCGCGCUGCAUUAGCUAGUUGGUAAGGUAACGGCUACCAAGGCAACGAUGCAUAGCCGACCUGAGAGGGUGAUCGGCCACACUGGAACUGAGACACGGUCCAGACUCCUACGGGAGGCAGCAGUAGGGAAUCUUCCGCAAUGGGCGAAAGCCUGACGGAGCAACGCCGCGUGAGUGAUGAAGGUCUUCGGAUCGUAAAACUCUGUUAUUAGGGAAGAACAUAUGUGUAAGUAACUGUGCACAUCUUGACGGUACCUAAUCAGAAAGCCACGGCUAACUACGUG